rnacentral:rRNA from 1 species
UGCAAGUCGAGCGGAACGAUGAUAGCUUGCUAUCAGGCGUCGAGCGGCGGACGGGUGAGUAAUACUUAGGAAUCUACCUAGUAGUGGGGGAUAGCACGGGGAAACUCGUAUUAAUACCGCAUACGACCUACGGGAGAAAGGGGGCAGUUUACUGCUCUCGCUAUUAGAUGAGCCUAAGUCGGAUUAGCUAGAUGGUGGGGUAAAGGCCUACCAUGGCGACGAUCUGUAGCUGGUCUGAGAGGAUGAUCAGCCACACCGGGACUGAGACACGGCCCGGACUCCUACGGGAGGCAGCAGUGGGGAAUAUUGGACAAUGGGGGAAACCCUGAUCCAGCCAUGCCGCGUGUGUGAAGAAGGCCUUUUGGUUGUAAAGCACUUUAAGCAGUGAAGAAGACUCCGUGGUUAAUACCCACGGACGAUGACAUUAGCUGCAGAAUAAGCACCGGCUAACUCUGUGCCAGCAGCCGCGGUAAUACAGAGGGUGCAAGCGUUAAUCGGAAUUACUGGGCGUAAAGGGAGCGUAGGUGGCUCGAUAAGUCAGAUGUGAAAUCCCCGGGCUCAACCUGGGAACUGCAUCUGAUACUGUUGAGCUAGAGUAUGUGAGAGGAAGGUAGAAUUCCAGGUGUAGCGGUGAAAUGCGUAGAGAUCUGGAGGAAUACCGAUGGCGAAGGCAGCCUUCUGGCAUAAUACUGACACUGAGGCUCGAAAGCGUGGGUAGCAAACAGGAUUAGAUACCCUGGUAGUCCACGCCGUAAACGAUGUCUACUAGUCGUUGGGUCCCUUGAGGACUUAGUGACGCAGCUAACGCAAUAAGUAGACCGCCUGGGGAGUACGGCCGCAAGGUUAAAACUCAAAUGAAUUGACGGGGGCCCGCACAAGCGGUGGAGCAUGUGGUUUAAUUCGAUGCAACGCGAAGAACCUUACCUGGUCUUGACAUAUCUAGAAUCCUGCAGAGAUGCGGGAGUGCCUUCGGGAAUUAGAAUACAGGUGCUGCAUGGCUGUCGUCAGCUCGUGUCGUGAGAUGUUGGGUUAAGUCCCGCAACGAGCGCAACCCUUGUCCUUAGUUACCAGCGGGUUAAGCCGGGAACUCUAAGGAUACUGCCAGUGACAAACUGGAGGAAGGCGGGGACGACGUCAAGUCAUCAUGGCCCUUACGACCAGGGCUACACACGUGCUACAAUGGUAGGUACAGAGGGCAGCUACACAGCGAUGUGAUGCGAAUCUCAAAAAGCCUAUCGUAGUCCAGAUUGGAGUCUGCAACUCGACUCCAUGAAGUAGGAAUCGCUAGUAAUCGCGGAUCAGAAUGCCGCGGUGAAUACGUUCCCGGGCCUUGUACACACCGCCCGUCACACCAUGGGAGUUGAUUGCACCAGAAGUGGAUAGCUUAACCUUCGGGGAGGCGU